GGGGCGGGGAAGGAAGGAAGGAGGGCGUUGCGGGGGGACGCGGGCAGGGCGGUUCCGCGGGUUUUUUUUUUACCCCCCUUCCCGGGUUUUUUAGUUCCCUCCCCGCUGUCCCUACCCCCAUUCUUCCUGGCGCGCCGCGCCGUGCACACCGCGGUGUGUGCUGUGCUGGCACUGCGGAACGGGAAAGUGGGGCACGGGGCGCUGCCCAGCCGGAUGGCUUUCUGUUUUAAAAGAGCAGCAGUUCUUCGGUGUCACGCGGAGCACGAGCAGACGGAGCCCAGCACCCAGCGAGGACAGCACCCGGCCGGCGCAGACUUGAGCCUGGGCUUGGAGCAGUGCUGAGAGGGCUUGGGGAGAGGAUUGUAGUGGAGCUCCAUCCCCAUUCCACUCCUAGCAGCUCUCUGGCCAUCCACCCCCGCUGCUGCCGGCCGAAGCACGGAGCCGUGCCCUCAUCGGGCGUCCACAAACCCUCAGAGAGCCGGGCGUGUUGUGCGGGCUCCGGGCGGCCGAGCUGAGGCCAUUGAGUGCCCGCUCGGCUCCCGGCCGCCCCUACCGCCCUCCUCUCAUCCGCCCCCUCCCCCGGGCCCUCCGCUCGGCCCCGUGCCGCGUGGUGCCAUGUGCGGCCGUGGGGAGGGAGCGCUGGGAGCGGGCGUGAGGCUGCGAGGGAUGGGGGCUGUGCUGCCUUUAGACAUUAAAGAUAAAUCCAUGUGAAACCCAACCGGGGAGGGCGUGGGCGAACGGCAAUGUAUUGUAUUGAAUGAUAGAGAACGGGAGUCGGUCUGUAACCAUCGGUGUGAAAUACAAUUAAAUGUGUAGUAAAGCUGCUUGCCGUACCCAA